GCCUUGGACAAGACAACAGGCUACAUUUAUGUACUGGGCUCAAGUGAUCAAACAAAGCAGCCAGAAUGUGAAGCCUGAAGAUGUGAAGCUGAUUUGGAAGUACAAAUUGUCACACGUGUCAUUAGACAAAGCAAAACUGGCAGAUGGGUGUAAAAAAAAGAGAAAGAAUUGCAGCCGCUUUCAACAAUGUCUCCUUUUGAUUCAUAAGAUUGUAGGAUUGCGAAGGUGGUGCGGUGAUCUGCGAGGAUCUCAGCGUGAGUGACAAGGACGAGCGGCGCGAGCGGCUAAUUGUCGUGAUGGAGGGAGAGAAGUGGAAGAGAAAGAGAGAGAGAGAGGAGCGAGCGAGCACAGAGGAGGGAGAACUCCGGGAAACUGCGAGUCGCCCAUUAACGAGGCUUGUUGUCAGAGCUGCGGAUGGCGGACAGC